rnacentral:rRNA from 1 species
UUGACCUCGGAUCAGGCAGGGAUACCCGCUGAACUUAAGCAUAUCAAUAAGCGGAGGAAAAGAAACCAACAGGGAUUGCCUCAGUAACGGCGAGUGAAGCGGCAACAGCUCAAAUUUGAAAUCUGGCUCUUUUAGGGUCCGAGUUGUAAUUUGUAGAGGAUGCUUCGGCGUCGGCUCCGGUCUAAGUUCCUUGGAACAGGACGUCAUAGAGGGUGAGAAUCCCGUAUGUGAUCGGUUGCCCUUGCCAUGUGAAGCUCCUUCGACGAGUCGAGUUGUUUGGGAAUGCAGCUCUAAAUGGGAGGUAAAUUCUUCUAAGCUAAAUACUGGCCAGAGACCGAUAGCGCACAAGUAAAGUGAUCGAAAGAUGAA